GCACAUCAACCACUUUCAUCAGUUACGAUGUAGUCACACACAUAUCAGUCGCACAUGUGUGACUACAUUGUAACUGAUGAAAGUGGUUGUAGU
rnacentral:pre_miRNA from 1 species